rnacentral:lncRNA from 1 species
UCGCUGGAGCAUUCCAGCUGGUCUCUCUAUAAACCUCAGGCCGAAUUCGUAGAUUUUCAGGAUGAUUGGAAGGUUAUCGAGGUAAUAUGUUGGGGACAGGUGAUUUGGGGACCCUACUCUUCCGCCAUCUUGCCCCUCCCCCUUGAUGUCCGUUUUUAAUAAAGAUUUUAUUUAUUUAUUAAUGAGAGACACACGCAGAGAGAGAAAGGCAGAGACACAGGCAGAGGGAGAAGCAGGCUCCGUGCAAGGAGAGCGAUGUAGGCCUCGAUCCCAGGACUCCAGGAUCACUGCGGGUGGAAGGCUGCUCCAUGAUGCAGUUGAGAAUGAUCACUUGGAAAUUGUCCACUUGCUGCCCUUCGAUGGUUCUGACCCCACUUUGGCUCCAUUCUCAGGUAUGAAAAGGACUCACAGCAAUCUUAUGAAAAUGUUUCUGGCAGGUAGGUCACUUCAGGAAACAGAAAUGGCAAAAUUUAAGAAGUGUUCUUUAUUCAAACUCGCGGGCACACUCAAGGACUCUCUCCAGGCAUAGCUGAUUUGCAUUUUACUAGGUAGAAAUUAAAAAGCUUAGAUUUUAGGACAGCAGUAAGUUUGCCUUUUGUGUGGUAUAAGACAGUAUUCUACUUAAGCUAAUUAGUUUGGUGAUCAGCUAUUGCUUCUACAUUUACUUUGGCCUACUUGUACUAAUGUUUACAAAGAUUUCCUAAAUAUAUACAUGUUCUACAUGUGCACUUUAAAGUUAGGUAUUUUUCUGAUACAUUACUUUAUUCAAAUACCAGUCUGGCCACACAGGGCCCAAGAACACUCAGAUAAUAAGCCACACAGGAAGAGGUGUUAAAGAUUGGUCUUCCAACAUUAUAGCCAAUGAUGCUACGCUUGCCUGUGACCUCGCCAACAUCAAACCACAUCCAAACCUUGCUGGCCUCCAAACCAUUCAGCAGAGCUUCCUUAACCGUGAGCUGUUUAAAGCUACCAGUUUGAGCACUCUUGAACAAUUUUGUUCAAGCUCUGAAUAGCUGUAGGGAUCUCAGCAAGGGUUGGAGGAACCAGCUCAACAGGCAUAGUGCCAAAAUGUGGCCAGUCAAGGCUUCCAGUAAGUCACCAGCAUUCACCAGCGCCAGAGCCUAAUCAGCGAGGUUACUGACGACCUGGGCCAUGGUGCCAGGAUGGAAGUAGGUUAGGUAUCUUUCCGUUUCAAGUCUGGGAGAUAACAGAGAUUCAAACAUCACAGUCAAAUUAUUNCAGCACAAGUUUCUCAUGAAUGCGAGGAAUGUGUAUAGUUAAAUUUCUUAUCAUUCACAUACUGUCAAACAAUGCCACUGACUCAGAUGGUAAUAAAACCUCAUUUAUCUUGUUAGUCUUAUGGUGG